UACGUAGGGCGCAAGCGUUGUCCGGAAUUAUUGGGCGUAAAGAGCUCGUAGGCGGCCUGUCGCGUCUGCUGUGAAAUCCCGGGGCUCAACCCCGGGCCUGCAGUGGAUACAGGCUGGCUGGAGGCAGGCAGGGGAGAACGGAAUUCCUGGUGUAGCGGUGAAAUGCGCAGAUAUCAGGAAGAACACCCGUGGCUAAGGCGGCUCUCUAGUACGGUACUGACGCUGAGACGCGAAAGCGUGGGGAGCGAACAGG
rnacentral:rRNA from 1 species